ACCCCCAUAUUGAUGGAUACGCAGGAGUGAUUCCUUGUUUUGUGUGGGUUUACUAACAAAGUGCAUGAGAAAAAUUGGCAUUCAGCUUGAAAUUCGGUCCUGUUGAAAUGUAAAUUUUGUGAAAAAGGCGGUAUUGUUUGUCUAGAAGACGGAAAGUUGAGUGCUUCAGGUGUUUUCCCGAAGUCCUGUGGAUUUAUGAUUGGAACGGGGUUCACUAAUAAUCUGAAACAGUAAAGUUUGUAUGUGGAAAGAAGAGUUUAAUCCCAGAGAACUGGGACAUUUGGGAAGAAGAUUAAGAAAAGAUAGUAAAAA